rnacentral:rRNA from 1 species
AUUGAACGCUGGCGGCAGGCCUAACACAUGCAAGUCGAACGAGUGGCGGACGGGCGAGCAAUGUCUGGGAAACUGCCUGACGGAGGGGGAUAACUACUGGAAACGGUAGCUAAUACCGCAUACCAUCGGAUGUGCCCAGAUGGGAUUAGCUAGUAGGUGUGGUAAAGGCUCACCUAGGCGACGAUCCCUAGCUGGUCUGAGAGGAUGACCAGCCACCCUGGAACUGAGACACGGUCCAGACUCCUACGGGAGGCAGCAGUGGGGAAUAUUGCACAAUGGGCGCAAGCCUGAUGCAGACAUGCCGCGUGUAUGAAGAAGGCCUUCGGGUUGUAAAGUACUUUCAGCGGGGAGGCGUUACCCGCAGAGGAAGCACCGGCUAACUCCGUGCCAGCAGCCGCGGUAAUUC